GGUGCCUGUCACCGACGCUGAGUCCUGAUGAUUUUCCAUGCACAUUUCUCGACAUCACAUCUGUCAUAAAUUACAAUCAGGCACUUUGCAGGCAGCAGCGGUGGUAGUGCAGGGACAUCUGUGAGCACCCACCCAGGGCUACAAGUUCUUCCCAGGCAGCAGCUGCUCCCCGGGGGACGGAGAAGCCACUGUUGUCCUGUGCCUGGGGCAGUGAGGACGAGGCACACUCCACACGGGUCUCCAAGGCAGCACCCACACGCCGUCCAGGAGACUGAUUCUGGGAGCUGACAUCACCUGGUUCCUACAGUGGGAGUCCCCGGAGCCCUCAGAGCACUGAGCCCCAGGGUGCUGGGCUCCCCACCUCGGGGUCAUGGAUGCCUCGGGCCCAGGCGUGCCCUGCGCCUGAGCAGUUUCCUGCACACACGUGCGGGUGCUGGCAGAGGCCGAGGCCGCCCCUCUGGAGAUGAGGACCCUGGGGUGGGGGGCAGGAGUCAGCCAGGGCGGUGCUGUGUCUGCCCCCACCCUGGAGGAGCUGCAGCCUGCCAGGGCGGGACCACACGCCCACGGCCACAGCACACAGGACACACAGAAGACCUGUCCACCUCCCUCUCUCCACUGCCCGUGGCCCUGGCCCCUCCUGCCAGCCCUGGGCACAGGAGGCACAAGCACCAGGCCACCAGCUCAGCCCAGAGCGCACUCCCUCAGCCCGGCCUGGGACCUUGUAGACUGGGCAGGCAACUAUUCUCCCCAGAGCUCCCCAAGUCCACACGUGGGUGUCUGCGGGUGUUUAGCAAGAAAAGGCAGAAACAGACUGGGGACCUGCUCCGAGGUCCUGCCCCCUGCCUCUGGAGGACACGUCCGCUCCAGGCCGGCUCUGAGCUGUGCCCAAACUCCUCUCCCAUAAAACCCCCACACCAGUGCAGGCCCAGGCUCAACAGUCCCUGGGACCCGGGCGAGUCAAUACAAAGUAUUCCGAAUGCUUAACACCUGAAUCUCCCAGGGGCAUACCAGGCCUCUGUGGCUUCCAGCCAGCAGGUGGGUCUAAUCCCGGGCGAGUGUAGGAGGAGCCGCCCACUACCACGGCCCCGUUAGUGUGGCAGCUGGCAGUGGAUGCCUGUGCAAGGGGCAGCUCUGGGGCUCUGCACACUCAGCCAUGUGGACCCUCUUGGAUCUCACGUCCAUAGAAAGGAUCUGGAGAUCACUCUGAGGACGACAAACUGAGGCCCUUGACGCCUGCCCCACAUGGAAGCUUCCAAACCACAGAAAUCCUAGCCCCACCCUCUCCUCACCAGUGUGCCAGAGAAGGUCCCCAGAGGAACCAGAAUCUGCUCCAGAAAUGGUUCUCCAGGGAGUCAGAGCCACAGCACAGAGAGGGGCAGGGAAGAGGUGUGUGAGGGUGGGGCUCACCUGUGAUGGUGGCUGCCAAGUCCCAGGAGCGGCCAAGGUCUGCGAGGUGGGAAACCAGAACAGACGGAGCCCACUGGAGCAGGACCCAGGAGACGCCGGGGUCCUUCUGGGUCUCAGGCUGCAGCCGUCAGUUCUGGGCCCACUAAUGUGAGCUCCGCGGUAGAAAAGCCACAGAACCUGGGGCUCAGACCCUGACUGGGGAGAGCCCUGAGCCCUCCCUUCUGCUGCGGCCCUGUUCUCUCCCAGGUCCGGGUGAUUGCAUGGUGACGCCCACUUGAAGCAGAUCUCAACGCAUGCUCAGACUCUCAUUUAGGCUCCACACACCGUCAAAGCCGGCCUGUGUCGCCCAAUCUUUCCCAUCCCCAGGACACGAGGAGAGUGGGCCCAGUGUGUGCUGAUGCCCCAAGUCUCCACCCUGCGCCCACACCCCAUGUCCCCUGAUCCAUCACAGUGGCACCCGGACCAACCGUCCCAGCAGCAGGGGCCCAAGGCCAACAACGAUCCCAUAACUGAGAUCCUAAAACACGGCUCUGUGCUCAGACGUUCAUAACUCCAGUAAGAUGUCAGCAGGCCACCUCUUUUCUCCUGUAGCCGGAAAAAUGAUGUCACAGGAAGCCUUACCGGAUGUUUAAUAAAAUUCCCAGGAAGCCAUGGACUUGGACCA
ensembl:lncRNA